GACGAACGCUGGCGGCGUGCUUAACACAUGCAGGUCGAACGGAAAGGCCCUGCUUUUGUGGGGUGCUCGAGUGGCGAACGGGUGAGUAACACGUGAGUAACCUGCCCUUGACUUUGGGAUAACUUCAGGAAACUGGGGCUAAUACCGGAUAGGAGCUCCUGCUGCAUGGUGGGGGUUGGAAAGUUUCGGCGGUUGGGGAUGGACUCGCGGCUUAUCAGCGUGUUGGUGGGGUAGUGGCUUACCAAGGCUUUGACGGGUAGCCGGCCUGAGAGGGUGACCGGCCACAUUGGGACUGAGAUACGGCCCAGACUCCUACGGGAGGCAGCAGUGGGGAAUAUUGCACAAUGGGCGGAAGCCUGAUGCAGCAACGCCGCGUGCGGGAUGACGGCCUUCGGGUUGUAAACCGCUUUCGCCUGUGACGAAGCGUGAGUGACGGUAAUGGGUAAAGAAGCACCGGCUAACUACGUG
rnacentral:rRNA from 1 species